AGUGAACGCUGGCGGUAGGCCUAACACAUGCAAGUCGAACGGCAGCACAGUAAGAGCUUGCUCUUACGGGUGGCGAGUGGCGGACGGUUGAGGAAUACAUCGGAAUCUACUUUUUCGUGGGGGAUAACGUAGGGAAACUUACGCUAAUACCGCAUACGACCUACGGGUGAAAGCAGGGGAUCUUCGGACCUUGCGCGAUUGAAUGAGCCGAUGUCGGAUUAGCUAGUUGGCGGGUUAAAGGCCCACCAAGGCGACGAUCCGUAGCUGGUCUGAGAGGAUGAUACGACACACUGGAACUGAGACACGGUCCAGACUCCUACGGGAGGCAGCAGUGGAGAAUAUUGGACAAUGGGCGCAAGCCUGAUACAGCAAUACCGCGUGGGUGAAGAAGGCCUUAGGGUUGUAAAGCCCUUUUGUUGGGAAAGAAAAGCAGCAGGUUAAUACCCCGCUGUUCUGACGGUACCCAAAGAAUAAGCACCGGCUAACUUCGUG
rnacentral:rRNA from 1 species